rnacentral:rRNA from 1 species
GACAGAGGAGCCAAGCGUUGUCCGGAUUGACUGGGCGUAAAGCGCACGCAGGUGGUUGCGGGCGUCGGUGCUGAAAGUUCGCCGCUUAACGGCGAAUCGUGUGCCGAUACGCCGCAACUCGAGCCCGUGAGAGGUCGGUGGAAUUGCCGGUGUAGUGGUGAAAUGCGUAGAGAUCGGCAGGAACACCCAAGGGGAAGCCAGCCGACUGGCACGGUGCUGACACUGAGGUGCGACAGCGUGGGGAGCGAACCGG